rnacentral:lncRNA from 1 species
CAACGGUGGACGUGGAGGAUACAACGGCAGAAGAGGGUAUUGCCGCUAUGGUUGCUGCGAUAGAGGUUAUCAUGGGCGCGGAGGUUGCAGGCGCUGCUGCCACUAUGCUGGUGAGACUGUUGAUGCCCAAACCCAAGUCCAGACACAUGACUAGAGCACCAUAAAUUAUAAAUAAGCGCUACAAUGCAUAGCUCGGUGUAUAUAUAUAUGCACAGACGAAUGGUUUAAUGAAAUAUAUAAUGUGUGUUUAGUGUGUUAGUCUUUUGCUAACACAACUUUUGUGUAAGCACCGAGUAGUAUUUGUAGCGCCAGAAGUGCUUAAUAAGUUAAUAAAUAAAAUUACGAGUAUGGAUAUGUGAUGGUAGUUUUGUAGUGUUGUAUGCAUGCUCUAAAAUACUUCUUACUCCUUUUGUAUAUAAACUAUGCAAAUAUAUUAAAAACUAAGUAAGUAUUGAAUUAAAAUCUUAAACAAAAACCCUAGAGAGACAAGAGAAUGAGAGAGAGUCCAAACAGGUUCUGAAGAGCUCAUUUCUUUUUUUUAUUUAUACUGAAAAAUAUUGAAGAAUCUGUAAAGUGCACAAAUUUUUCACAAAUAUGAUAUACAAACUAAAUUAGAAAAUGCCAACAUAUAUAUAUAUACACACACAUACUCAUAUUACAUACACACGCAUCAUGCUUUUGAAGCUUCAGCACGAAAGCCCAAUGGAGAGAUGAAUGUUGGGAUUGGGCCUAAAUCUUAUUCUUUCAGUAUUUCAAAUUUAUUUCGAUUAACAACUACAUAAUAAAACUUUUCGUCUUAAGCUUCUGUUAUUAUCUUAAGUUUUUCAAAAUAAAAGAGAUAUUUAAAUUAAAGUGACAGCCGAACUGAGUAUUUAAAUAUUUGAUUUUGAUUUUUUUCAAAUAGUGUUAAGUUCAGGUUUUGCUUGAAGUUUGAUUAAUUAUCUUAAAGGCUCAAACUUAAUUUGCUUGCAAAGAGUUUCAACUUGAAAAAAUUCAAAUUAUAUAAAAUUUAUUUGGAUAAAUUCGAUAAAUAAUAUCCUAUUUACUUAUUUUUGUUUAAUUUUUAUGAAAAUAUUUUUUAUAUUAUCAAAUACGUACUCAAAAAAAUAUAUAAAAAUAUUAACUUAUUAAGGAUUCAAAACUUAUAAAAGUAAAAGAUUUUUUUUUUUUAUAAGACUUAAUAUUCUAAGAGAAUCAAUACUAUUAUAUGGAUCAAAAGUAAUUUUACUUAUAAUAGUCAUAAUACUAGAAUUUAACAAAAUUGAUUUUUCGAAAGUACUUAUUGAUUUUGCUCCAGGUGGAGUAAACUUAUCUUACAUUCAUUCCCGAGCCUCCGAAAUCUUAACAGUUCUGAAGAGAACUUUCUACGCUAGUUUUAUUUUAUUCAAUUAAAAUUAAACUACUUUGUUCACUAAAGUAUUUUAUCUGGGAGAUGUUUUUAUCUUUCUUUUUGGUAUAAUUCACUUUUAAUUUAACAUUGAAGAGAGUAAUGUUGUUACUUACGCAAUUCUAAGUAACCAAAAUUCAGGGAUGAUCACUUUAAGAAAUGUUAUUUUUGCCUCAAAACCACUAAUAUAGCCUAAUGUUACUGUCAAGGCAUACAAUUGGACAAACAUGUUGUGCAAGAACUUCAUUCAUGAAAAUAAACUUUUAAUACCUCAGAAAAAAUAUUAUCUUAUAUAUAAUAUAUGUUUGUGAUUUUCUUAUAAUUUAUGAAUUGUCAAAAAUCAUGCAAUGAAAGUAAUGAGUGAAGACAACAGAAAUGCAUGAACAAAUAUUAUAUAUGGAAUAGAUUUAAUAUAUUUUAUAAAAUUAUUGGAUGACUCAAUCAUUUUAAAAUUUAAAUAUAAUUUAUUGAUUGAUUCAAUUUAUUAUUUAUAUUAUAUAAUCGUAGCCCAAAAUAUGUAUUUGGGUAUGUACAAGAGGUUGAGGGAGAGAUGAAAGGAGAUAAAUAGGGAUAUAUAUACACACACACACACGUGUGUGUAUAUAUAAUCAAGAAGAAAAAAAUUAGUUUAUUCCAUUAGGACAAAAGUUUAAGUGGAUCAAAAAACUAUAUUCCACCAUUUUCUCACACAAUUAGAUUAUCACUUAUAAUAAUUUUAAUUUAUUUGUUUAAUAGAUUUCGGCUCCUUCACUUCCCUUCCUCCCAUGGAGUUGAGUUCAACUAAUUGGUGAAUCCAAGUCCAAACUUAACUAUAUCUUACUAAUGGAUAGUCCAUAUAUAUAUACAUAUAUAUAUAUGUAUAUGUAUAUGUAUACGCACGGGCUGUACAAUACAGAUUUCAGUUGAAUGAUUAUGCAUGCGUCACACAUGACGUUUGUUUUAAAUGUUAUUUGCAUGUAUGUAUGUGAUUUUUAACUAACCAAAAAUCAAAAUUAUUCCUUGAUAAUUUUUAAAACUCUGAACAUCUACCUCGAAAAUUAGUACAUCUUAUACUAGAAAUAUCGUACUUUAUGACAUAUAUAUAUAUAUAUACAUGAAGAUAUACACUUAAAUCCAUGUGGAUAUAGAAUGGACACAUGCAUGGACUCUAACAUAAAUGCUACGACUUGUUCAAUGCGAUAGCUACAAUUAUUCAUGUACUUUCAAAAUUAAUUAAUAGCAAGUAAUUUUUUUAUAAAUUAAAUAAUUAAUUUAAAUUAAAGCGAUCGAUUAUCGGAAACGAAUCUAUCAUAUCUUCAACUUCAAUCUAAUCCACACAAGUAAUAUUUUCAACCCAACUCCAAUCAUACAUUAUUUUCUUUUCUCUUUUUUAUUAAUUUAGUUAAUAUUAAAAUUUUAUAUACGAUUAAGAUAAAUGUUAAUUAGUGUAUUUUAUUUUAAUUUUGAAGAUUCAAUUCGAUUUAUAAUUGUCAAUAAAAUAAAUAAAUUUUGAUUCUCAAUUCAAUUAUCAAUUUAACAAUUAUUUUAAAUUUUUAUAUGAUAAUUAAUCAUAUGAUUAGUUAUUUAAAAUGAUAUUAAAUGCCCAAAAUUUUAUUAAAAAUUAAUUUUCCCAAAUAAUUGAGCUUUUUAGUUAAUUUACGACUGCUUCCGUUUAUUUUAUUUUUAUUUUUUUUUAUUUUUUUGGAAGCAGAAAAUAUUGACUUUUUCUCAUCUUACAAGUCUCUUCCCAAUCACAUACGCAAUAAAUAAAGCUCAGAGCAACUCCCCACAAUUACUGCUUCUUUUAUUUUCACCACUUGAAAAAUAAGUAAAUUCAUAGUAAGAAGAAAAUGUUGAAUUUUCCUUUUUUUUCAUUAAAUCAAUUAAUGUAAGAUGUACGUCUUGAUAACUCUUCAACAGCCACCUACUGUUGCGGGCCAUCAUAUGUAUAUAUUUGCGCUGAAAAUGUAUCUCCUUCUUCCCCCUAUAAAUACACACAGCCAACCAUUACUUGUCAUCACAUCCUUCAUACUAAGUAGAGCCAGUGUCGAGUUGCAGCAACCAAAAACCAUGGCAUCGAAGAUUUUCCUUCUCCUAGGCCUUUCAUUGGCCAUACUUCUUCUCAUCUCCUCCGAGGUGGCUGCAAGAGACCUCGCCGAGACGGAGACCCAGCAGGAACAUGGUCAGCUUUACCUUCUUCAUUCUGACAAUCACUCUUUACUACUUUAUUAAUCACAUGCAAUGUAGUUACUAACACUACAUAUCUAUACGAAUAAUGAUCAUAUGCAUAUACUGCGUGUAAAUUUAUGCAGGAGAGGUUGAGGAAGAGACAAAUGGAGUGGAAGAGGCUAAGUAUCCAGGAUAUGGAGGAUACCCUGGAGGCGGCGGAUACAACGGUGGGUACAACGGUGGACGUGGAGGAUACAACGGCAGAAGAGGGUAUUGCCGCUAUGGUUGCUGCGAUAGAGGUUAUCAUGGGCGCGGAGGUUGCAGGCGCUGCUGCCACUAUGCUGGUGAGACUGUUGAUGCCCAAACCCAAGUCCAGACACAUGACUAGAGCACCAUAAAUUAUAAAUAAGCGCUACAAUGCAUAGCUCGGUGUAUAUAUAUAUGCACAGACGAAUGGUUUAAUGAAAUAUAUAAUGUGUGUUUAGUGUGUUAGUCUUUUGCUAACACAACUUUUGUGCAAGCACCGAUUAGUAUUUGUAGCGCCAGAAGUGCUUAAUAAGUUAAUAAAUAAAAUUACGAGUAUGGAUAUGUGAUGGUAGUUUUGUAGUGUUGUAUGCAUGCUCUAAAAUACUUUUUACUCAUUUUGUAUAUAAACUAUGCAAAUAUAUUAAAAACUAAGUAAGUAUUGAAUUAAAAUCUUAAACAAAAACCCUAGAGAGACAAGAGAAUGAGAGAGAGUCCAAACAGGUUCUGAAGAGCUCAUUUCUUUUUUUUAUUUAUACUGAAAAAUAUUGAAGAAUCUGUAGAGUGCACAAAUUUUUCACAAAUAUGAUAUACAAACUAAAUUGGAAAAUGCCAACAUAUAUAUAUAUACACACACACAUACUCAUAUUACAUACACACGCAUCAUGCUUUUGAAGCUUCAGCACGAAAGCCCAAUGGAGAGAUGAAUGUUGGGAUUGGGCCUAAAUCUUAUUCUUUCUGUAUUUCAAAUUUAUUUCGAUUAACAACUACAUAAUAAAACUUUCCGUCUUAAUCUUCUGUUAUUAUCUUAAAUUUUUCAAAAUAAAAGAGAUAUUUAAAUUAAAGUGACAGCCGAACUGAGUAUUUAAAUAUUUGAUUUUGAUUUUUUUCAAAUAGUGUUAAGUUCAGGUUUUGCUUGAAGUUUGAUUAAUUAUCUUAAAAACUCAAACUUAAUUUGCUUGAAAAGAGUUUCAACUUGAAAAAAUUCAAAUUAUAUAAAAUUUAUUUGGAUAAAUUCGAUAAAUAAUAUCCUAUUUACUUAUUUUUGUUUAAUUUUUAUGAAAAUAUUUUUUAUAUUAUCAAAUACGUACUCAAAAAAAUAUAUAAAAAUAUUAACUUAUUAAGGAUUCAAAACUUAUAAAAGUAAAAGAUUUUUUUUUUUUAUAAGACUUAAUAUUCUAAGAGAAUCAAUACUAUUAUAUGGAUCAAAAGUAAUUUUACUUAUAAUAGUCAUAAUACUAGAAUUUAACAAAAUUGAUUUUUCGAAAGUACUUAUUGAUUUUGCUCCAGGUGGAGUAAACUUAUCUUACAUUCAUUCCCGAGCCUCCGAAAUCUUAACAGUUCUGAAGAGAACUUUCUACGCUAGUUUUAUUUUAUUCAAUUAAAAUUAAACUACUUUGUUCACUAAAGUAUUUUAUCUGGGAGAUGUUUUUAUCUUUCUUUUUGGUAUAAUUCACUUUUAAUUUAACAUUGAAGAGAGUAAUGUUGUUACUUACGCAAUUCUAAGUAACCAAAAUUCAGGGAUGAUCACUUUAAGAAAUGUUAUUUUUGCCUCAAAACCACUAAUAUAGCCUAAUGUUACUGUCAAGGCAUACAAUUGGACAAACAUGUUGUGCAAGAACUUCAUUCAUGAAAAUAAACUUUUAAUACCUCAGAAAAAAUAUUAUCUUAUAUAUAAUAUAUGUUUGUGAUUUUCUUAUAAUUUAUGAAUUGUCAAAAAUCAUGCAAUGAAAGUAAUGAGUGAAGACAACAGAAAUGCAUGAACAAAUAUUAUAUAUGGAAUAGAUUUAAUAUAUUUUAUAAAAUUAUUGGAUGACUCAAUCAUUUUAAAAUUUAAAUAUAAUUUAUUGAUUGAUUCAAUUUAUUAUUUAUAUUAUAUAAUCGUAGCCCAAAAUAUGUAUUUGGGUAUGUACAAGAGGUUGAGGGAGAGAUGAAAGGAGAUAAAUAGGGAUAUAUAUACACACACACACACGUGUGUGUAUAUAUAAUCAAGAAGAAAAAAAUUAGUUUAUUCCAUUAGGACAAAAGUUUAAGUGGAUCAAAAAACUAUAUUCCACCAUUUUCUCACACAAUUAGAUUAUCACUUAUAAUAAUUUUAAUUUAUUUGUUUAAUAGAUUUCGGCUCCUUCACUUCCCUUCCUCCCAUGGAGUUGAGUUCAACUAAUUGGUGAAUCCAAGUCCAAACUUAACUACAUCUUAUUAAUGGAUCGUGCAUAUAUAUACAUAUAUAUAUAUAUAUAUGUAUGUAUAUGCACGGGCUGUACAAUACCGAUUUCGGGUUAAUGAUUAUGCAUGCGUCACACAUGACGUUUCUUUUAAAUAUUAUUUGCAUGUAUAUAUAUUAUUUUUAUUAACCAAAAGAUAUAAAAUUAUUCCCGGACAGUUUUCAAAACUCUAACAUAUGCCUCCAAAAUUAGCACGUCUUUUAUAGGAAAUAGACGUAUUUUAUACAAUAUAAAUAUAUAUACACACAUAUACAUUUAAAUCCAUGUGGUUGUAUAGUUGACACAUGCAUGGACUCUUACAAAAUGAACGAGUGGUAUCAAAUGUUAGGGCUUGUUCUUCUAAAGCUUGGUCAAUGUGAUAGCUACAUUUAUUUAUGUAUUUUCAAAAUUAAUUAAUAGCUGAUAAUUUUUUUAUAAAUUAAAUAAGUUAUUUAUAUUAAGACGAUUCACUAUCAGAAUGAAUGUGUUAAAUCUUCAACUUCAAUCUAAUCUAUACAAACAAUAUUUUCAACCUAAUUCCAAUCUUAUAUUAAAUUUUUAUAUGAAUAAGUUAAAUAUUGAUUAGUGAAUUUUAUUUUAAUUUUGAAGAUUCAGUUUCAUUUAUGAUUUUCAAUAAAAUAAAUAAUUUAUUUUUUACAAGAAAAGACAAAAGUCAAAAGAAAAUUUAGAAAUCGUCGUGCACAUCCUAAGUCAAAAUAUACUCAUAAUAUCGUCAGUGAAAAACAAUUGGUAUAUGUACAUAUAUAUAUAUGUACAUAUACAUUUAAAUCCAUGUGGGUAUAGAAUGGACACAUGCAUGGACUCUAACAUAGUGAACAAAUCGUAUUAAAUGCUAGAGCAUGUUCUUCUGAAGGUUGGUCAAUGCGAUCGCUAUAAUUAUUCAAGUACUUUCAAAACUAAUUAAUGGCAGGUAAUUUUCUUAUAAAUUAAACAAGUGAUUUAGAUUAAAACAAUCCACUAUUGGGACGAACAUGUCAAAUCUUCAACUUCAAUCUAAUCCACACAAGCAAUAUUUUCAACACAACUCCAAUCAUACAUUAUUUUCCUUUUUCUUUUUAAUAAAUUUAGGUAAUAUUAAAAUUUUUAUACGAUUAAGGUAAAUAUUGAUUAGUGAAUUUUAUUUUAAUUUUGAAGAUUCAAUUUGAUUUAUGAUUUUCAAUAAAAAUAAAUAAAUUUUGAUUCUUAAUUCAAUUAUCAAUUUAACAAUUAUUCUAAAUUUUUAUGAUAAUUAAUCAUAUAAUUAGUUAUUUAAAAUGAUAUUAAAUGCCCAAAAUUUGAAACUCAUAAUUUAUCAAAUAUUGCACAAAUUUUUAAUUUAAAAAUAAAAAAAUAGAUAUAGCAAUCCAAGCACUUGAAAACUAAGUAAAUUCAUAGGAUAUUAAACCAAAUUAUCAAUAGUAACAAGUAAAUAUUAAAUUUCUCUUCUUCUUUUUUUGGUACAAUGAGAGACAAAAGCUAAAAAAAAAAUUAAAAAAUCGUCGUGCACAUCCUGGUCCAAGAGACACCCAUGAUAUCGUCAGUAAGAAGUUGUUGAAGAUCAUUCGACAUUUGAACAUAAGAAUGGACGCUCAUCGGUAGAGAGAAGCCAACAUUCGUCAACCAGUCAGCGUAUUUAUUACAUUCGCGAUAGACAUAUUUGAUCCAGAUAUGUCAAUCCUGUAGUAGUAAGUGUUUGAUCUCACGAACGAGGGCGUCAUGUGCAGUAGUACUAUAAUCCUCCUUAGUCAGUAACUGCACCUCCAAAGUGUUAUCCAUUUCCAAAAUGAUACUACAGAACCCGGCAUUGCAAGCGAGUUAAACACCAUCCAAGGCACCCCAAAGCUCGGCCUGAAGAACAGAGCAUCUGCCAAUUUUCUUGCUGAAGCUUCUCAGGCAAACAUCAUCUUCAUCUCUAAUAAGUCAGCCACAGCAGACAACAUUGGUUGCAGCACAAUAAGCACCAUCAGUGUUCACUUUCAACCAACUCCUAGGUGGUUUCUUUCAAGCUACAAGUUAUUCCGACCUGUGCACCAUAUCUGAAAGAAAAUAAAAAUUCAUAUUAUUAGCCAUAAAAGUGUAAUCAAUCAUGAGGGACACAUCCUUAGCAAGCCCAUCGAUACUGCUCUCACUCUCUUGAAAAAUAAAUUUAUUUAUAUAGUUCCACAAGUUUCAACAAGUAAGGUUAAGUAUCACUCUCCAAUCCUAAAAUAUCUUACAUCAAGGCUAAUUAUUUUUUAGGUUCAGCACGAACCACUCAACUAAAAUACUACUGAAGAAAGUUGAUUGGGUUUCAGCAGGUAUGAUUUUCAACCACAGCAGCUUGGCCACACUUGCAAUUACAAAGAAUAUGAUCCACAUCCUUAAUAAGGUCAUCACACUUACUACAUUCUGCAGUAGAGGACAUGUGACAUCGGUAUCUCUUCCAAUUCAUCAAAAGCUUCCCCUUAGCAGCCAAAUAGAGGAACGUACGCACCCGUUGAGCAUCUGACCAAUGCUAAAUGUCUCUCCAAUUUCUAUCCUCUGGGUGUCAAUGAUCGCUCUCCAGGAGGGCAUAAGCUGAGCUAACCGAGAAGCACCUAGAGCUCGUCAUACCUCAAAAGUAAGGGUCUAGAAUAUUGUCAUUUUUAGGAGUCAGUACCACUUCCAUCUAGAACAUUGUAACCAUCAACAACACUCGGUUCAGAGCCUCCCAAUCCUAUUGGCCAGACGAUACCACGUAAUCCCAGACACAUCUAUGGAGAUCUUGCUCAUCAAUUGGUGUGAAAGUCAAAAGUUUAAGCGGCCUCAUGUCCCCCAACCAGUAGUAUUCUCAAAAUCUAACAUUUCUCUCAAACCAAUGGAGCAUUUGAUGCCAACUCGAAGAUCCAUCCAGAGAUGGUUAAGGUUGUGCCAAAAAUAAGAGAUCGAUCCCGUCAGCUUGUAAUUUCGCGAUAAGCUAGGUCAUCUAUACUUGUGGACGAGAAUCUGGACUCAUAGGAGAUCGGAUUUCACAACCAUAACACGACCCAUUUUCAUCAAGAAAGCUUAGCUUUUCUUGUUGAUGGACCAAAGACCGCUUCCGCCAAUGUUGUAAAGCAUGCACAUAUCAUCCCAACUGAUAAGCCUAAUUUUCAGUUGCCAUUCCCCUGGUCCUCUAGAAACUUCUUGACCACCGUUUCAAUCUGAUCACAUAGGGAUUUAGGCAAAGUCGUGGUUUGCAUAGCAUAAACAGAGAUAAUCAUGUGGACGGAUUUGGCCAAAGUUAAACGUCUUGCAAAGGAAAGGAGGUUAGCAAUCCAGCCAAAUAACUUUUGGUUAAUCUUCUCAAAGAUGUAAUGAUAAAUAUCUUUAUUGACUCUAUCAUGUAACAACAAAAUGCCUAAAUACUUAGCAAGAUUAUUAGAGACUUGAAAACCAAACAUCUUGUUAUUAGACUAGUUUCACCCGUGAUAACAUCGCAAGAAAAGAAAGUAAGUGUUUUAGUCGCACUCACUUUGUUGCCCGAGCUCGCACAUAAUUCAUCUAAGACUUUCUUUAUAACUUGAGUCUGGUCAUCAAUGGCUUUCCCAAAGAUUACUAGGUCAUCCAUAAAAAGAGGUAUGAUAGGGUAGGACCCUUCUUACCAAGACGGAUCAGCUUCCACAUAUUAUUUCUUACCAAAGUAUUGAUACACUGGGAUAGUCUUUCCAUGCAUAACACAAAUAUAUAGGGCGAAAGUGGGUCCCCUUGUCAAAUGCCUCUAAUAGGCCAGAACUCCUAAGUGAGACAACUGUUUCACAAUAAUUGCAUGGAAUAAGAGGAAAUACAAUGCAUGAUGACUUUGAUAAGGUUAAGAGGGAGACCAACAUCAAGUCGAGUAUCCUCUAUAUAUUCCCAAUGGAUGUGAUCAUAAGCUUUUUCUAAGUCCACCUUAAUGGCCAUCCACUUGUCUUUCCCUCACAAAUGUUGCAUAGAGCGGACCACUUCUUAGGCAAUAAUAAUGUUAUCCGUGAUAUUCCUAUCGGCUAUAAAGCUAGCAUGGGUAGGGUCAACCAACAAAGGUAUUAGAUUCUUGAGUCUAUUACCAAUGAGUUUAGUAAUAAUUUUAUAUAAAACUGUUAAUAAACCAAUUAGACAAAAUUCUUUAAUAAUCUCUGGUCUUACAACUUUAGGGAUGAAGGCAACAAGGGUCUUGUUAAUCUUAGUAGGUAAUUAUUCACCAUGGAAGAUACCAUUGACGAUUGUGCAAACUGACUCGCCUACAGUCUCCCAUUGGUUUUGAAAGAAUGGCACGUGAAGGUCAUCCACUCCAAGGGCCUUCGACGGGUGCAUGCUAAAUAAAAUAUUAUGAAUUUCAUGGUUCGUUAUCCUAAAGUCUAACUAAGCAGCCAUACUAGCUGUUAACUUUAGGAACAAGCCUCUAACAGGGUAAUGCAAUAUAGGUCCCUUUUUGGCCGUAUAAAUUUGCUCAAAAAAGGUGGAAGUCAUUAUCCAAAGCUAGCCUUCAUCGGUACUCCAAUUACCAUCCCCAUCCUUAAGCAUACUAAUUUUGUUUUUUUUUUCCUUCUAGAGAUGGUUUGAGCAUGAAAAUAUUUGGUGUUCCUGUCCCCCAGAGAAAUCCAACUACAUCAGGAUUUUUACUUUCAGAGCAUUUCUUCUUGGAGUAACACCCCCUCUAAUUCCUCUUUCAAGGAUUUCUCCAGCUCUUGGAGCCUAACAAAGUGGUGUCUUUCUAGUGCCCAUUGGAUCUCAUUUAGUCUUGCCAUGAGGAUGUGUUUUUUCUUAGUGAUAUGACCAAACACAUUUUUAUUCCAGUCCUACACAGUCUCGUUGAAAUUACUAUUGUUCUCCUAGAUGACAAGAUUGUUUUGUCAAUUUCUCCUAACCAAGUUAGGGAAAUCGGGAUGGAAUAGUCACACAACUAAAAAUUGAAAGGGCUUGGGGUUCGUAUUAUGAGUGUGACAAGCGUAAGGGAUAAUCAAAAGAGUCCUAUGAUCCGAUUGCACUUUUAAAAGGUAGUAAACGAUGGCCUCUGGGUAUUGGUUGAACCAUAUCUGGUUACAGAUAACUCUAUCAAGCCGUUAAAAAAAGGUCUCACAUCGCCAUGUAAAGUUCAAUCCUAUAUAAUUAAGCUGUUAUAAGGAAUUGGAAUUAAUGAAAUGGUUAAAGAGACUGCAACCUUUGGACCAUUUAGCCGCCCCCUCUUCGGUCGUCUGCAUCUAAAAUGGCAUUGAAAUCCCUAAAAUUGAUCUAAAGGCGAUCCAUGUGAUGCCCGAUAAUGGUGAGCUCCUUCCAAAGGUCUUUACGUUUAUGAGGAUUUGGGCUCCCAUAGACAAUGGAGAGGGAGAAGUCCUCUCGACCUCCCAACUAUCAUUCCUACUAAUCCUAGAAUGGAUAAACUGAUGGUGAUUGUAUUCCACAUUAAUCUGGAUAGACUUUUUUUAUAUCAUCCAAAUGAUACUCGAAAAUUCAACUGCCUCAAUUCUGUGAGAGUAGUCGAAUCUCAAGUUCUUUAUCACUUUAUCCACUUUCGCGUCUGUCGUCCUAGGCUCCAACAAAACAACCAAGGCAGGAUUGUGGAUACAAAAGACUUAAGGGCGUCGAAGACCACAUUUACUGCACCUUGAAAUUUCCACACAAAAAAUGAGCAAUCCAUAUGGUAAGGAUAAGGGAAAAGAGGAGAAGAGAGAGAUAUUAAAUUAGAUGUAUUAUAUUUUUAUGGGAUCUUAAAUACCCAAAUUUUUAUUAAAAAUUAAUUUGCCCAAAUAAUUGAGCUUUUUAGUUAACUUACGAUGCUCGCUUUUUUUUUUGUGGAAGCAAAAAAUAUUGACUUUUUUUCAUCUUGCAAGUCUCUUCCCAAUCACAUACACAAUAAAUAAAGCUCAGAGCACUUCCGCACAGCCACCUACUGUUAUGGGCCAUCAUAUGUAUAUAUUUGCGUUCAAUAUGUAUCCCCUUCUUCACCCUAUAAAUACACAUAGCCACCCAUUACUUGUCAUCACAUCCUUCAUACUAAGUAGAGCCAGUGUCGAGUUGCAGUAACCAAAAACCAUGGCAUCGAAGAUUUUCCUUCUCCUAGGCCUUUCAUUGGCCAUACUUCUUCUCAUCUCCUCCUAGGUGGCUGCAAGAGACCUCGCCGAGACGGAGACCCACCAGGAACAUGGUCAGCUUUACCUUAUUCAUUCUGACAAUCACUCUUUAUUAUUUUAUUAAUCACAUGCAAUAUAGUUACUAACACUACAUAUCUAUACGAAUAAUGAUCAUAUGCAUAUACCGUAUGUAAAUUUAUGCAUGAGAGGUUGAGGAAGAGACAAAUGGAGUGGAAGAGGCUAAGUAUCCAGGAUAUGGAGGAUACCUUAGAGGCGGAUAUAACGGUGGACGCGACGGAUACAAUGGUGGGUACAAUGGUGGACGUGGAGGAUACAACGGCAGAAGAGGGUAUUGCCAUUAUGGUUGCUAUGAUAGAGGUUAUCAUGGGGGCGGAGGUUGCAGGUGCUGCUGCCACUAUGCUGGUGAGACUGUUGAUGCCCAAACCCAAGUCCAGACACAUGACUAGAACACCAUAAAUUAUAAAUAAGCGCUACAAUGCAUAGGUCGGUAUAUAUAUAUAUAUAUGCACAGACGAAAGGUGUAAUGAAAUAUAUCAUGUGUGUUUAGUGUGUUAGUCUUUUGCUAACAAAACGGUUGUGAAGCACCGAGUAAUAUUUGUAGCGACAGAAGUACUUAAUAAGUUAAUAAAUAAAAUUACGAGUGUGGAUAUGUGUGUGGUAGUUUUGUAGUGUAGUAUGCUUGCUCUAAAAUACUUCUUACCCAUUUUAUAUCUAAACUACACAAAUAUAUUAAAAACUAAGUAAGUAUUGAAUUAAAAUCUUAAACAGAAACCCUAGAGAGACAAGAGAGGGAGAGAGAGUCCGAACACGUUCUGAAGAUCUCAUUUCUUUUUCUUAUUUAUACUGAAAAAUAUUGAGGAAUUCGUAGAGUGCACAAAUUCCUCACAAACACGAUAUACAAACUAAAUUAGAAAAUGCCAACAUAUAUAUACAUACACACACACUCAGAUUACAUACACACGCGUCAUCAGUCUCCCUUGUGUCCCUCACAAUAGCAAAGCUCCUUUAGAGCUAGUAUUUUAUGAUGUCUAGGGUACUUCCCCUACAACUUCCAAUCUUGGUUUCUCUUAUUUUCUUAUCUUUGUCGAUGACUUCACCAGGUAUACCUGAAUUUAUUUUCUUAAAGAUAAAAGUGUUGUUUGUGAUUCAUUCAUCAAGUUUCAAUCUUUAGUUAAAAAAUAAUUCAAUUUAAAAAUCAAAUCUUUCAAGUCUGAUUGGGGCAGUGAAUGCCGCAAACUAAAUACCCAUCUCACCAACCAUGACAUCCUCCAUCGCCUUGCAUGUCCACAUACACAUGAGUAUAAUGGCACUGCUGAAAGAAAAAAAGGCAUAUUAUAGACACAAGUCUCCCUCUUUUAGCUCAAAAUUUUAUACCAUUUCGAUAUUGGCCCUAUGCAUUUCAAACCUUUAUUUACACUAUUAAUUUAAUGUCAACAAAAUCUUAAAUGAUCACAGCCUAUACACCAAGUUAUAUUGCAAACCAUUUGAUUUUCUUCAUCUACAUAUCUUUGGAUCUAUUGUUUUUCCAUUAAUCAGACCCCACAAUCAACACAAACUUUCUUUCCACAGCCACCCAUGCGUUUUUUUAGGUCCCUCCUCAGCUCAUCUUGGACACAUCUACUUGGAUAAGGACUCUGGCCGAAUCUAUAUCGCUAGACACGUCAUCUUUGAUGACACCAAUUUUCUUUUCCAUUCAACUAAAGACUCUUUGUCGAUCAUGCCUCUCUCCCCCCCUUCCGCAUGGCUUGAUAUUUAGACCUCAUCCUCUCAUUCCCAACCUGCUUCGGUGGCUUAUUCUUAUUCUUUACCUUCAGCAAAUUUUAAUCCUUCAACCUCUACCCCUUAUCCUCCCAUUCAAAAUUUGAGUCUUGCUCACCCGGCUGACAUUACCUCACCCCCUACAUUCUCUCCUCUCUUAUCCCCAUCUGAUAAUUUAAACUUUCAAGUAUACUUAUCUAAUCCCCACUUCCCAACUGAUCUUGUCCCCACCCAACCACGUCAACCUACCCGUACUCAUCCUAUGAUCCUACACCCCACUUCUCUAGCAAAACUUUCUUUUUUUCUAGGAUCUAAAACUACGACCAAAAUUGAUUAUCUUCAAACAGAACCCCACACCUACUCCCAAGCUAGGUCCUUUCCUCAAUGGCAACAAACCAUUCAUGAGGAAAUUGAUGCCCUACUGAACAUUAGCACUUGGACCUUAGUUCCCAAACCUCCUACAACUAAUAUUAUUGGCAAAAAAUGAGUUUACAGAAGCAAACAAAAAUCAAAUGGCUCUAUUGACUUAUACAAACCUCGUCUGGUUGCCAAAGGAUAUCAUCAGCAAUCCGACUAUUAAAAAUUACUUUGCAAAUUAGAAUAUAAUUAAUUAGUUUGUUAGUGGUUGAACUUCAUAAAUUAGAGUCUCUAUAUAUACUUUGGUUUGGUAGAAGUUGUGAGUCAUAAAUUAGAUUUAUUAUAUUUGUUGGUGGUUAUAAUUAAUUCUAAUAGUUGUAAUAGUGCCUAUAAAUAGGCAUGUACUUGAAGUUUUUUUUUUGCAAGAACCACAAUAGAAAAUCUUGAGUCUUCUCAUUAGUCUCUCUAACCUCUUCCUCUUAUCUCUAACAAAGUUGUAUCAAAGUUUGAUUUUUUGUUAAAAUUCUAGAGAUUGCUAGCAAUAAUCUAUUUUCUUUUCAAUUUCCUCAUCUUACAAAAUAAAACUAUGAAAGUUAGUAUUUUCGUAUGAAAGCCAUACUUGGCUCACAAGAUAUAUGAGAUAGCGUAGAAAGAGGCUUUACUCCACCUGAAGAUGAAGGAUCCUUAAUUCAAAAUAAGAAAGAUGUUUUUGCAAGAACAAAGAAGAAGGAUCAACAAGCUCUUGCACUCAUCCAUCAAGAUUUAGAUGAAUAUAUGUUUCUAAAAGUGGCCGAUGCUACCGACGCAAAACAAGCUUGGGAGAUUUUGAAGAAUUCCCUCCAAGGAGUCGACAAGGUGAAGAAGGUACAACUCCAAAUUUUACGAGGUGAGUUUGAAGCUUUGCAAAUGAAGGAUGUUGAAUCCAUUUCAGAUUUUUUCUCAAGGGUAAAGUCUAUAAUAAGCCUAAUGAGGAGAUCUGGUGAGAUGAUGGAAGAUAUUCGUGUGGUGCAAAAAAAUUCUUCGAUCAUUGCCGCCAAAAUUCGACUAUGUGGUUUGUGCCAUUGAAGAAUCAAAGGAUUUAGACAUUUUGACAUUUGAACAAUUAGAGGGAUCUCUACAAGCUCAUGUAGAAAAAAUAAAGAGAAGACAAAAAGAGCCUUUAGAACAAGUUCUCAAAUCAAAUGCAUCUUUGAAUGAUGGUGGAAAGCAAAGAGGACGAGGAAGAGGUAGAGGUCGUGGUCGUGGUCGUGGUCGUGCUCGUGGUCAAGCAUUUAAAAGAAAUAAAACUCAAGAUGAUGCCAAUAAUGAAGAUAAAAGUCAACCAUUAAAUAGAGGUCGUGGAAGAAUAAGAGGAAGAUGAAGAAGUAAUAACAAAAAUUCUAACAAAUCAGAUAUUGAAUGUUACUAUUGUUAUAAAUACGGACAUUAUACUUGACAAGGUCGUAACACUUUAAACGAGAAGGAGUAACAAGCCAACUUUGUCAAUGAUAAACAAGAUGAGGAAGAAACAACUUUGUUGCUAGCAUAUAAAUAGGGAGAUAGUGAUACACAUAAUUUAUGGUACUUGGAUAAUGGAGCAAGCAAUCACAUGUGCGGCAAUAAAGAAAAAUUUGGGGAGCUUGAUGAGAAGAUUAAUGGUAAUGUUUCUUUUGGAAACUCUUCAAAAGUUCAAAUUCAAGAAAAAUGUACAAUUUUAAUCUCUUCAAAAAAUGGUGGAAAUGUACUUAUUACUAAUGUUUACUAUGUGCCAAAGUUAAGAAGUAAUAUUUUAAGUUUGGAUUAACUUUUUGAAAAUGGAUAUGAAAUUCACAUGAAAGAUUAUUGUCUUUGGCUUAAAGAUCAAAGUGCUAAUUUAAUUGCUAAGGUGCACAUGUCAAAGAAUAGAAUAUUUAUCUUGAAUCUCAAAACUAUUGAAGCAAGAUGUUUGAAGGCUAGUAUGGAAGAUGAAGCAUGGUGUUGGCAUAUGAGAUCUGGCCAUCUGAACUUUAACGCACGAAAGGCGAUGGGAGAAGAAAAAAUGGUGAAAGGAAUGCCAUUAAUCAAUCAUCCUAAUCAAUUAUGUGAAGCAUGUCCACUUGGAAAGCAUUCAAGAAGGAGUUUCCCAAAAGAAGCUACUACAAUAGCAACUAAGCUACUUCAACUUGUGCAUGCCGAUGUGUGUGGGCCAAUCAAUCCACUCUCAUUUGGUAAAAAUAAAAACUUUCUACUAUUUAUUGAUGAUUUUAGUAGGAAGAUUUUGGUAUAUUUUUUAAAGAAAAAAUUAGAUGCUUUUGUUGUUUUUAAAAUAUUUAAAGCUCUUAUAGAAAAAGACUGUGGUUGUAAAAUAAAGUCUUUGAGAAUAGAUAGAGGAGGUGAAUCUACUUCCAAAGAAUUUCAUGAUUUCUAUGAAUCUAAUGGAAUUCGUCGCCCUUUAACAGUUCCAAGAUCACCACAACAAAAUAUAGUUGCGGAAAGAAAGAAUAUAAUUAUUCUUAAUAUGGCUAGAAGCAUGUUGAAAGCAAAAAACAUGCCCAAGGAAUUUUGCGCCGAAGCAAUUUCUUGUGCAGUGUAUUUAUCUAAUAGAUCUCCAACAUCAAGUUUGAAAAACAUGACUCCCCAAGAAGCAUGGAGCGGAAUGAAACUAAUGUCAACUAUUUGCGAGUUUUUAGAAGUAUUGCAUAUGCUCAUGUUCCACAACAAGAGAGAUAUAAACACAAUGAUCGAAGUGUUAAACAUAUUUUCAUUGGGUAUGAUGGAAACUCAAAAGGCUCUAAAUUGUAUAAUCCAAGCAAUGGCAAGAUCAUGGUAAGUAGAGAUGUUGAAUUUAAUGAAAAAAUGACUUGGAAUUGGGAGAAGAAAGAAGAAAAUGCUUAUGAUUUCUUUCUAUACUUUGAAGAGAAUAACCAAGAGACCAAGAACCAAGAGACCAUGGUAUCAUUGCAAGAGACACUAAUUUUGAUAUAAAUGAUUUGUUUUUUCUUUUUCUUGACAGUAAACCAAUGAAUUUUGAUGAAGCCAUCAAAGAUGUAAGAUGGAGACAAGCUAUGGAGGAAGAGAUUAAAUCCAUAGAAAAUAACAACACAUGGGAACUAUCCACUCUUCUUAAGAGACAUAAAGCUAUUGGUGUCAAAUGGGUCUAUAAAGCUAAAACGGAUUCCCAAGGAAAUGUGAAAAGGUAUAAGGCAAGACUUGUGGCUAAAGGAUAUAAACAAAAACAUGGGAUUGAUUAUAAUGACGUUUUUGCACCAGUUACUCGCAUGGAGACUAUUCAUUUGCUCUUAGCUAUCUCAGCUCAAAUGAAGUGAAAAAAUUUUCAACUUGAUGUAAAAUCGGCAUUUUUCAAUGGCUAUCUUAAUGAAGAGGUUUAUGUAAAACAACCAUUGGGUUUCGUGGUUGAAGGGCAUGAAGAUAAAGUGUAGAAAUUUAAGAAAGCUUUGUAUGGGCUAAAGCAAGCGCCAAUAGCAUGGAAUAGCCGUAUAAACAAGUAUUUAGAGGAUAAUGGAUUUAUUCGUUGCCUUCAUGAAUAUGCUCUUUAUGUGAAAUAUCAUCCUAAUGGUGAUAUUCUAUUUGUGUGUCUAUAUGUGGAUGAUCUCAUCUUCACGAGCAACAAUCCAAGUUUGUUUGAAGAAUUCAAGAAAAACAUGUUACUUGAAUUUGAAAUGAUUGAUAUUGGGCUCAUGUCUUAUUAUUUAGGCCUUGAGGUGAAGUAAAUGGAAGAUGGUAUUUUUAUUUCUCAAAAAGGCUAUGCAAGAAAAGCUUUAGAAAAAUUCAAAAUGCUUAAUUGCAAUCCUGUGAACACGCCAAUAGAACGUGGAGUCAAGUUAUCAAAGUUUGAUAAUGGAAAAAAAGUAGAUCUUACUCUCUUUAAAAGUCUUAUGGGAAGUUUGAGAUACUUGACAUUUACAAUGCCUGAUAUUCUUUUUGCAGUUGCACUAAUAAGUCGUAUUAUGGAAGCUCUUACCACCUCCCACAUAAAUGUUGCCAAAAAAGUUCUACGUUACCUUAAAGGUACUAUUGAUUUUGGGUUAUUUUAUUCAUCUUCUAAUGAUUUCAACUUUGGGGGAUUUUGUGAUAGUGAUUUCGCUGGAGAUAUUGAUGAUAGAAAAAGUACAACUGAUUUUGUAUUCUUUAUGGGUGAUUGUGCAAUUACAUAGAGUUUUAAGAAGCAAGUCAUUAUUACACUAUCACCUUAUGAGUCUGAAUAUGUGGCAGCAACCUCUUGUGCUUGUCAUGCCAUAUGGCUUAGAAGAUUAUUGAAAGAACUUCAGUUAACACAGGAUGAAGCUACUAAAACUUUUAUUGACAAUAAAUCUGCACAAGCUAUGCCAAAGACACGGUAUUCCAUGAACAAAGCAAACACAUAGACACAAGAUAUCAUUUAUUAGAGAUUGCAUUGCUAAAAAAGAAGUGGAACUCAAGCACGUAAAGACUGAAGAUCAAGUGGUGGAUAUUUUCACCAAACCGCUCAAGUUUGAAGUCUUUCAAAAGCUACGCACUAAUCUUGGAUUGAAAAGGAGGUUUGCAAAUUAAGAGAAAGUGUUAAAAAUUAAUUUGCAAAUUAGAAUAUAAUUAAUUAGUUUGUUAGUGUUUAAACUUCAUAAAUUAGAGUCUCUAUAUAUCUUUUGAUUUGUUAGAAGUUGUGAGUCAUAAAUUAGAUUUAUUAUGUUUGUUGGUGGUUAUAAUUAAUUAUAAUAGUUGUAAUAGUGCCUAUAAAUAUGUAUGUACUUGAAGUUUUUUUUUUUGCAGGAAACACAAUAGAAAAUCUUGAGUCUUCUUAUUAGUCUCUCUAACCUCUUCCCCCUAUCUCUAAUACCGACAUCAACUUUUAAGAGAGAUUUAGCCCAGUGAUCAAGUCGACCAUUAUCCGCACAAUUUUCGCCUAUGCCACUACUCAAGGGUGGCCUAUGCGACAGUAAGAUGUCUCUAUUACUUUUUUACAGGGUUUCCUCGAUGUGGAUAUCUACAUGGAUUAGCCAAGGGGAUUUAUUGAUCUAGAAAAAUCAGAUUGUGUCUGCAAGCUUGCUCGGUCUUUUUAUGGCCUUAAACAGGCUCUUCGAGUCUAGUUUAAAAAGGUUAGCUCCUUCCUCCUUUCCCUUGGUUUUCAAGAUUUUAAAGUUGACACUUCCUUGUUCAUCUACAGGUAUGAUUCUUCCACUGUCUUUUUCUUAGUCUACGUGGAUGAUAUCAUUAUCACUGGUUCUUCUCCACAGUUGGUACACCAUAUUAUCUCCUCCUUUCAAUAAGAAUUCCCGGUAAAAGAUCCUGGCAAGGUUUCCUAUUUUUUUGGAUUACAGGUCACUCACACCCAGCAUGGGCUCUUCUUAGAUCAACAAAAUAUCUCCUUGAUCAACUUAGCAUGACUGAAGCCAAAGGCAGUUCCACACCAAUUAUCAUAAUGUCUCUAUCCAAGAUCGACAACAAUCUCCUUCCUGAUGGCACUCAGUAUCGUAAGACCAUUGGUGCCCUCCAAUAUGCAACAAUGAUGCGACCAAACAUCUCUUUUACAGUCAAUAAAAUGUAUCAAUUCAUGCACUCCCCAACUGAUGAAAAUUAGAAAGUAGUAAAACAGUUUCUAUGAUACCUAGCUCACACCUUCUCUUAUGGUAUACUCUUCACAUUCGAUUCCUUCUAUCAAUUGUAAUGCUUCAUAGACAAUGACUGGGGUGGUUACCGAGAUUAUCGUCGCUCCACCAAUGACUAUGCAAUUUAUUUGGGACACAAUCUCAUAUCUUGGGUCUCUAAAAAGCAACCAAUUGUUGCCCGUUCCUCCACCACAUCUGAACUAAUACGGCUUUAAAGUCUGCUUUUUGAACUUGGCAUUCCACAAUCUGGUCCACCAAUUCUCUAGUGUGAUGACAUUGGCGCCAUUUAUCUCUUCUCCAACCCCAUGUUUCAUGCUCGCACAAAGUAUAUUAAGCUUGACUACUACUUUGUACGUGAAUAAGUCACUGUUGGCCAACUUUGUAUUCACUUUAUCUCCACUAACGAUCAAAUUGGUGACAUUUUCACCAAAUCCCUGCCUGCUGCUCGAUUCCUCUAUCUUCGCCAAAAGAUUCGUCUCCUACCUCGAUCGACAUUGAGUUAGGGGGGGGGGAGUGGGUGUUGGGAGAUAACUCUCACCUCCGCACUUUUAGCUUCUGUAACACAUCUUUUCUCCUUCAGCAUGUAUCCAUAUUCCUCUCCUUCUUAUUCUAUUUAUAUAUGUAUAUAUGUGUAUAUAAUUCCUUCAAUAUAACAUACAAAAACAACAACUCAGUUUCUCAAAACACAGCAAGCCAAAAUGUUUCAUUUUGAAAACUUAAUUUAAAAGUCAACAUAUUUUCUUUUAGCUGAAUACGAAUUAUUCACGAGUCAUUAUCACCUUUACAUUUAAGUUUAAUAUAUAGUUUGUGCAUCCUUUUUGUUGACAAAUUUUUUAUAUAUGCAAUAUUUGUGAAUAAAAGUUUUUGUAAGGAUUUCAAACUCAUAAAAAUAAAAGAUUUUUUUCUUUGUAAGACUUAAUAUUCUAAGAGAACCAAUAAAAUUAUAUGGAUCAAAAGUGAUUUUACUUACAACAGUCAUAAUACUAAAACUUAACAAUAUUGGUUUAUCUAAAGUACAUAUUAAUUUUGCUCCACAGAAAACUUACCUCACAUUCAUCCCCGAGCCUCCAAAAUCGUAACAGUUCUGAAGAGGACUUUCUAUGCUGGUUUUGUUUUAUCCAAUCAAAAUUACAAUAUUUUGUUUACUAAAAUAUUUUAUCUGAGAGAUGUUUUUAUUUCUCCUUUUGGUAUAAUUCACUUUUAAUUUAAUAUUUGAGAGAAUAAUGUUGUUACUUAUGCAACUUUGAGUAACCAAAAUUUAGGAAUGAUCACCUUAAGAAAGGUUAUUAUUAGGGCAUAUAGUUGGAUAAGCAUAUUGUACAAGAACUUCAGCCAUGAAAAUAGACUUUGAAUACCUAAGAGAAAAAUGAUAUCUUAUAUAUAAUAUAUGUUUUCUUAUAAUCUAUAACGACCCCGGAAAUUCUAAAGAAAAUAGAUUAUAAAUUAAGUGCGGAAGUGAAAUAAAUAGUUAGGGUUUACAUUCCUUACAUAAUGACUUAAAGUACCAAGUAGGGCUAUGGGAAUGACCCUUAGAGAGAAAUACAAGAAAUUAAAGAAAUAACUAUAAAAUAAAUAAAAUUUGCAUCCUACUAACAAUCCUCUUGUGGAUCGGACUCUGAAUCAUGAUCUUCUUGAUCUGAAAUAGUUAAUAAAGGAAUGAGCUACAUUAACCCAGUAAGAAUAUCACGUUACUCACCGACACAGAAAUGAAGGUUGGUAGAAAUAAUAAAAACAACUAAUGAAACUUUUAAUUUAGCAAAAUCGUUUAUCAUAAAUAAAAUUAUUUACCGUCUACUUGUCGUAACGAGAUUUACAAAACAACUUAUAGAUACAAUAAUAUAACACAUCUUAGGAUUUCAUAUGCAAUUAGUUGGAACAAUAAUUUUCUUUUUUAUCAGCCUACUAGUAUCCAUGGGGGUUCAUAGGGAUGUCCACACAACGUGUGAACCAUUUUCUUUAACAUUUUCAAUUAAUGGGUCGUCCUCAUACUCCGUCCGGUAUGAGCACCAAAUUACUAAAUCUCAAUACCCCGUUCGGUAUGAGGGUGAAACAGGCCGUCCCCAUACCCCGUCCGAUAUGAGCACCAAAUUACCAAACCUCGAUACCCCGUCCAGUAUGAGGCAACGUUCACGAUAGGGUUCCCUAUGUACCCAACCCGUCCACCAUCUCCUACGAUAUCCAGUAAGGUUGUCGAUUUAUCCAUUCACUUAAUCACACGAUUUCUCAUUUAUCUUUAAUAUUCAAUUUUUCAAUUCAACCGUAAUCACAUAAAACAAACAAUAUAUGCAUUCAAAACUAUAAAAUCGAUCAAUCAGAUACUAUCAUGUAUUCAAACUGUAAAAUCAAUCAACAGUGAAUAAUUUUUUGUUCUAGCUCUACUAAUAAACCGUAAUUAAUUAUGGAUAUCUUUUAAGUUGCACCGUACUAUUGUUAAUUUAACUUCAAUUCCAUAAUAGAGAAUAGGGUGAGGGAUUCUUACUCAAAUUGAUGCCCAAAAUACUAAACUUGUUGACUGCACCUAUGGGCGGUCACCGAGUUCCCUAAAUUUUUCUUCGUGAAUUAAAACGCACUACAAGUACCUACAAAUAUCCCAAAAAAUUUCAAAAUAGGUGUCAGGACCUCUUUUUGGCAUAUUCUGGAAUUUCGACGACGACGGUUUGCCUCGGGUCGACUUUUUUGGCUGAAUUCGGCCGAUUUUGCAUCAAUCUCUGCGAGAAAACACGUGAAGUAGCAUCGGUUAGUCAAAAAAAUAAAAAAUCAAAACUACCGGCAGCAGGGUCCUCCGGUGCGGCAGCUCCGCCGGCUCACCUUUGCAAUUGGGUGUUUUGCUUUGGUCAACUUGUAAAGAAGGAAACAGUAAGUACAAUAGUGAAAGAAUUACACAUAACGGGAAUCGGGAAGGGCCUCAUCGGAGUGGUUUUUAUAAUUUUCUGCCGCGGCGCCACGGUGCUUUAUCUGCCGGUUCUUUUGCUCCGAUUUAGCCAAUGGGGUGUUUAAAAUUGAAUUCCGAGCAAACGGAGAAAUUUCUUAUUUACCUUUAAUAUCCAAUUUUUCAAUUCAACCGUAAUCACAUAAAACAAACAAUACAAGCAUUCAAAAUUAUAAAAUCGAUCAAUUAGAUACUAUCAUGCAUUCAAACUGUAAAAUCAAUCAAUAAAAUCAAUAGUGAAUAAUUUUUUGUUCUAACUCUAUUAGUAAACUAUAAUUAAUUAUAGAUAUUUUUUAAAUUGCACAAAAUACCGUACUAUUAUUAAUUUGACUUCAAUUCCAUAAUAGAGAAUAGAGUGAGGGAUUUUUACUCAAAUUGAUACCCAAAAUUCUAAACUUGUUGACUGCGCCUACAGGCGGUCCCCGGGUUCCCUAAAUUUUUCUUCAUGGAUUAAAACGCACUACAAGUACCUACAAAUAUCUCAAAAAAUCCAAAAUCGAUGUUAGGACCUUUUUUGGCAUAUUCUGAAAUUCUGACGACGGCGGUAUGGCUCAGGUCAAUUAUUUUCGGUAAUUUUAUACCGAAUUCAGCCGAUUUUGCAUCAAUCCCUGCGAGAAAAUACGUUAAGGGGUCUCAGUUUACCCAAAAAAAAUAAAAAAUUGAAACUCAUCGGUAGCAGGGUCCUUCGGUGCGGCGGUUCCGCCGGCUCACCUUUGCAGUUGGGUGUUUUGCUUCAGUCAACUUGUAAAGAAGGAAACGGUAAUUACAAUGAUGGAAGAAUUACACAUAACGGGAAUUGGGAAGGGCCUCAUCAGAUGUGGUUUUUACAAUUUCCCAAGGCGAUGCCGCUGGGUUUUUUCUACUAUUUUCUGCCAAUCCGCCGGUCUUUUUGCUCCGAUUUGGCCAUGGGGUAUUUAAAAUUGAAUUCCGAGCAAACGAAGAAAUUUUUACCUCUUUUGGCGGUUGAAAGUGGCUCCGGCAUGGUGGCUUCCCUUCCCAAUGACUGGGUCUUCUUCUCCAGCGAGGGUGUCUAGCGGCUAGGAUUAGGGUUUGGUGUGAAGAUAGUUAUUUAUAUUUGUCUCCUUUUAAUCUGGACCGUCAAUCGCAUUUGAUCUGAACCGUCCGGUCCGAUUAAAUAGGAAGUGAAUGUGAACCGUUCAUUGCUAUCUGAUCUGAACCUUCUGAUCACGUUUAAAUAAGAAGUUGAUUUGAACCAUUGAUCGUGUUUAAAUCUGAUCGUCCGAUCACGUUUGGGGAGGGAAUGCAUCCGGACAUGCGCACGGGAGCGAAUUUGAGUCGUCCACCUAUUUUCUUUCAUUUUUACAUUAAAUUAAAAUUUAAAAAUUAAAAAAAUUAUAUUUAUAAAUUAAUUUAAAUUACAUUAAAAUUAAUUUGGGUAUUACAUAAUCCAUGUAUUGUCAAUAAUGUUGUAAUAAAAGCAGUUAUAUAUAUACCUAUGUAACUUCAUCUGAUGAUGUCCAUCAUUUUUAUUCCAAAAAUUUAUUUUACAAGAUUUAAAUGUGUGUAAUGAGAUUUUAUAAUAAUUUAUAUUUGAUCAAUGUUUAUUAUAAGAAAUAAUUUUUUAAAAAAUGUUUGACUAGGAAAUAUAUACUGAAAUCUUAUAUUAGAUGUAACGGCCCCGGAAAUUUAAAUGAAGAUGUAUGUAUAAAAAAUUUUAAAUGUGGAAGCGAAAUAAAAAUUCUGAUUAACAUCCCUUACACAAUAACCAUAAACGUAUUCAACGUAUGAAAGAAUAAGCUAAUUAAAAAAAAUACUUGAAAUAAAAACUAUAAAUAGAACUAAAAAAUCUUUAGGCGUCUAACUCGUCGUCUUCUUGCGGAACGGACUCGGGAACCACGUCUUCUUGAUCUGAAAUGGUUAAGUAAGGAAUGAGCUACACUAGCCCAGUAAAGACAUCACACUAUCUCACUGCCAUAGAAGUAAAGAUUGGUAAAAAAUAAAAACGACCAAUAGAGCAUAAUUUAUAACAAACUCAUUUAUUAAUAAAAAAAAUCUUUAUUAUCCACUUACCUCGGUGAGAUUCAUGAAAAUAACAUAUGAAAACAAUAACAUUAUAACCAUCAUAAAAUCAUAUACACUUUGUAACAUAACACAUGUUAUACUUUUGCACUUCAAUAAUCAGACAACAAUUCCCCUCUUUUACCAGCCUACUAUUAUCCAUGGGGAUCCAUAGGGGGUCCUCGCUACACGUGAACCAUUAACAUUAAUAACCUGAUUCUAGGGUCGUCCCCAUACCCCGUCCGGUAUGGACGCUAAAACCAUAAACCUCAAUACCCCGUCCGAUAUGAGGGUGAAACAGACCGUCCCCAUACCCUGUCCGGUAUGGGCGUCAAAAUCAUAAACCUCAAUACCCCGUCCGGUAUGAGGGUAAAACGGGCCGUCUCCAUACCUCGUCUGGUAUGGGUGCUAAAAUACAUAAGGUCUGCAUACCCCGUCCGAUAUGAGAGACCACGUUCCCGAUAGGGUUCUCUACGGAUCCGGUCCGUUCACCAUCUCCCAUGAUAUCUAGUCAGGCUGUCCACAUUAUACAUUUAUCAAUUCACAUAACUUUUUUUUCAUUUUCCUUGGUCUUAAUUAUCCAAUCAUACACAAAUACGUAAAUCAAUAAUGAACACCAGACAAAACAACACUACAUCGGGUUCACCAUAAUUCAAACCAUAAUAAAGAAACCAUAAUUCAUGCAUACGAAACCAUAAAAUAAAUACAUCAAAUACCAUAUUGCAUUUAAAGCUAAAAAAUAGAUCAAACAACAACUGACCAAAAAAUACAUCAGAUUCGGGCUCUAUUAGUAACCUUAAUUAAUUAUACACAUGUAUUAAUUCAUGAAAUGCCGUUUUAUUAUUUAUUGAGCUUUAAUACCGUGAUAGGAAAUAGGGUAAGAAAUUCUUACUUAUUUCGGGGUCUGAAAUCGGCUCUACAAUGCGCUUAUGGGCUGUCCCUAAAUUUUCUGAAUUUUUUUCAUAAAACUAAAACGCACUACCGGUACUUGCACGUGUCCCAAAAAACUCCAAAUCAGACACAGGGCCCCUUUUCGGCCAAUAUCAAAAUUCCGGCACGGCGGCUCUGCCGUGCUCCGGCAACGGCACAAGCCCUGUAGAUAACUUCCCCUAAUAGUGUUUCACUCCCAGCAGUAGACACAAAUAACAAUGAAUCAAAUUUAUCACGUGAUACAUUAAGUUUGGAAGCAAAAACAUGUGAGACAAAUGAAUGCGAUGCACCAGUGUCAAAUAAAACAUGAGCAAUAUGGUCACAGAUAGUGUACAUAUCAUGUACCACGUCCGGGUCGGCGUCGGCAUCCUGCUGGGUAUGGUUGUAAACCCUGCCCUUAAAAGGAGGUCUUCCUUGGUUCUGGUUCCUCGGGUACUCUCUCGCAUAGUGCUGGGCACUGCCACAUAUGCAAGAGGUGUUGUUGAGGCGGUAGCAUGGUCGGUCCCCGUGAUCCCUGCCACAGUGCUGGCAGAUCUUUCCACAUGCUGCCCCUGGAGCCUGAGGAAGGGCCUGGAUCACUGGUCUGGGCCUCUUAUUUGGUUGGACCGGCGCAGUAGGUGCUGGUUUGUGGGGUGUAGCUGAGGGUCGGUGACUCCUUGCUGACUGAGGACGGGUGUUGAAACUCUUCUCCACAAUCUGUGCCUUUGCUCAAACGGUUGAAUAUGUCUUGAGCUCCAGUACCAAUAAGUGUUGCUUGUUUUUUGGGCGGAGGCCCCACUGGAAUCUCCUGGCCUUCUUGCCUUCAUCUAUCAAUGUCUCCAGGGAGUAUCGGCCCAGCUCUAGGAACUUACUAGCAUAUUCUGACACUGUCAUGUUUCCCUAGACCAGCUGAACAAACUCCAUCUCCUUCAGGUGUCGGAUGUGCUCAGGGAGAUACUCCACAUGGAAGGCCGCUAAGAACUGCUCCCAAGUGGCUGGUGUAGGCAGGGUGGUCUGCUUGAGCUCCCACCAAUGACUUGCUUCCCCUACCAACAUGUAGGAAGCAAGGGCAACUCUCUGCUCGGGAACCACUCCCAAUGUCUUGAAAGCUUUCUCAGUCUCCGUCAACCGGUACUGGGCAUCUUCAAAAGAGGAUCCCCCUGCAAAAGUAGAAGGGUUCAGUCUCCUGUACCUCUCUAUGUAGCCUGGGUCGAUCAAGGAAUGAGCUGUGUCCCGUGGAAGAGGGACUGGGCCCGGCUGGGGAUAGACUGGGGGGCCCUGUGGUGGCACCUGCUGAUAUGGUGGGGGCACCGGAUUGUACUGUGGCGGUGUCGGGCAGUACGGUAGUUGGGGCACCGGUUCAUACUGCGGCAGUGGUUUCGUGUGGUACUGUGGUGGAGCAAGCUCGUGCCGCGGCAACUCGGGAUUCACUUGCUGUAGCGGCGGCUCAACCCGUGGUAGUGGGGGAGGUUCAGGUAACUCCCUUCUCUCCUCUCGACCUUGCUGGGCAGCCAUGAUCCUUUCCAGCAUCUCAAAUAUUCUGUCCACAUCUUCCCGAAGCAAAUCAUCCCAAGCUGCUCAGUUUAGUGGGAGUCUUCCUCUCCUCAUUUCUUUGCACCUACAUUUCACAAGGAAGAGUUGAGUAACGAUUUAUCGGUGGGUAUUUCUCUAAGUAUUAUUGUGUAAGGGAUGAGUCCGAGGAAACCUGUCUCUGAUACCAACUGUAACGGCCCCAGAAAUUUAAAUGAAGAUGUAUGUAUCAAAAAUUUUAAAUACGGAAGCGAAAUAAAAAUUCUGAUUAACAUCCCUUACACAAUAACCAUAAACGUAUUCAACGUAUGAAAGAAUAAACUAAUUAAAAGAAAUACUCGAAAUAAAAACUAUAAAUAGAACUAUAAAAUCUUUAGGCGUCUAACUCGCCGUCUUCCUGCGGAACGGGCUCGGAAACCACGUCUUCCUGAUCUGAAAUGGUUAAGUAAGAAAUGAGCUACACUAGCCCAGUAAAGACAUCACACUAUCUCACUGCCAUAGAAGUAAAAGUUGGUAGAAAACAAAAACGACCAAUGGAGCAUAAUUUAUAACAAACUCAUUUAUUAAUAAUAAAAACCUUUACUGCCCACUUACCUCGGUGAGAUUCAUGAAAAUAAUAUAUGAAAACAAUAACAUUAUAACCAUCAUAAAAUCAUAUACACUUUGUCACAUAACACAUGUUAUACUUUUGCACUUCAAUAAUCAAACAACAAUUCUCCUCUUUUACCAGCCUACUAGUAUCCAUGGGGAUCCAUAGGGGGUCCCCGCUAUACGUAAACCAUUAACAUUAAUAUCCUGAUUCACGGGCCGUCCCCAUACCCCGUUCGGUAUGGGUGCUAAAACUAUAAACCUCAAUACCCCGUCCGGUAUGAGGGUGAAACGGGCCGUCCCCAUACCCCGUCCGGUAUGGGCGCCAAAAUACAUAAGGUCUCCAUACCCCGUCCGAUAUGAGAGACCACGUUCCCGGUAGGGUUCCCUACGGAUCCAGUCCGUCCACCAUCUCUCAGGAUAUCUAGUCAGGCUGUCCACAUUAUCCAUUUAUCAAUUCACAUACAUUUUUUCUCAUUUUUCUUGGUCUCAAUUAUCCAAUCAUACACAAACACGUAAGCCAAUAAUGAACACCAAACAAAAUAACACAACAUCAGAUUCACCAUAAUUCAAACCAUAAUAAAAGAAACCAUGAUUCAUGCAUACGAAAUCAUAAAAUAAACACAUCAAAUACCAUACUGCAUUUAAAGCUGAAAAAUAGAUUAAACAACAACUGACCGAAAAAUACAUCAGAUUCGGGCUCUAUUAGUAACCUUAAUUAAUUAUACACAUGUAUUAAUUCAUGAAAUGCCGUUUUAUUAUUUAUUGAACUUUAAUACCGUGAUAGGAAAUAAGGUGAGAAAUCCUUACUUGUUUCGGGGUUUGAAAUCGGCUCUACAAUGCGCCUAUGGGCUGUCCCUAAAUUUCCUGAAUUUUCUUCGAAAAACUGAAACGCACUACCGGUACCAACACGUGUCCCAAAAAAUCCCAAAUCAGACCCAGGGCCCCUUUUCGGCCAAUAUCGAACUCCGGUGACGGCACUACCGCCCGUGGCGGCGAUCCGCCUCAAGUUGGCCGUUUUCGGCCAAAUUCGGCCAAACUUGCAUUGGUUCCUGCGAUAAAACAACCCUAGGGCCCUUGGUGGGCCAAAAAAUCACAAAAAACCAAGACUUAUCGGCGGCAGAGCUCUCGGGUGCGGCGGCUUCUCUGGCGCGAGUCACGAUUUGAUGUUUUGCUCCGGCCAACCUGUAGAAAAAAGGACGGUGAUCACGGUGGUAUAAAAAUUGCAUCAAAUGGGAACCGAAAAGGGCCUCAUCGGAGGUAAAAAUCGAGGGAAGCUGCGGCGACGCCGCUGGAUUUCGACGGUGUUUUCUGGCCGAUUGGCCGGUGGUUUGGCUCCAAUUUGGCCAUAGACGAAUUUAGCAUCGAAAAACGAGCCAAUUGGAGAAAAUUUACCUCGUUUGGCGGUCGGAAAACCCUCCGGUGCAGCGGCGGGUGGCGGCGGCCGACUCCUCCGGUGACUGGUUCUUCUUCUCCAGCGAGGGUACUGACGGCUAGGGUUUGGGGUCGGGUGUGGGUGAGGUUAUUUAUAACCUUCCCCUUUUAAUCUCAGCCGUCCAUUACGAUUUAAUCUGGGCCGUUCGAUCGCGAUUAAAAUAGAAAUAAAUCUGGACCGUCCAUCGCGAUGCGAUCUUGGCCGUCCGUGUGUGAUUCAAUCUGGGUUGUCCGCACGAGUGAGAUCUGGGUCGUCUAUGCGCAUGAGAUCUGGGCCGUCCGCACGCGUGAGAUCUGGACCGUUCGGUCGGGUGCACGCGGAUCGCCCACGUGGCUCCGUCCCGCGUGGCCUCCCACGUCAGCUUCCUUGCCACACUGUGUGUUCUGGUUGGCCGGGGCUGCUGACUGGGCUGCUGACGUGGCACAACUUUCCUAAAUUGCGUUUUGACCCCCGGUUUCUGAUUUUCUUUUCAAAAACACCUCCAGAAUUUAAAUUUUCACCCAUUUUUCUUAAAAUCAAUUUCAAUUAAAUCCCAAAAAUAAUUUUACCCUAUUUUAUCAUUAUUAUUAAUUUUAUUUUUAUUAAAUUAAAUUAAAUUAAAACCUUAUAAAUUAAAUAUUAAAAAAUUAAACUAAAAUUUUAAUAUAAAUUAAAAUAAAUUAAAAAAUAAAAAUAAUAAAAUUUCGGUGUUACUCUAAUAUUUAAGAUAGGUUGAUAAUAAUUGAAACCCAAAUAAGUUAUGUUAUAAUUAUUAUAAAUAAUCAGAAAAAUAUAAAAUUAUUGUUAAAACUGAAUAUUAAAUAUUACAAGUUUGAAUGUAAAUUUUAAAUAAAAAUCCUAAUUAAUUCAGAACCUAUUUAAUUGAAAUUUUGUGUUAAAUUCUAAUUCUAUCAAUCUUAAUCUAAUUGCUAUUGAGUUUUUUAUUAAAAAAAAAAAAAAAAAAAAAAAUCAUCAAACUAUAUAAAGGAUAACCCUGUCCUCGCUCCAGACAGCUUGUCGCUUUUGCUUUCGUGACGCCAAGCGUAUUCUGCAAUUUUGCGAUAAGGUGGUUAACAAGGCAGUAAAACGACAUCGUUGCUAUUAAUAAUGAAUAAACACUAUAAACCAGAAAUGUUGACUUCACUUGGGCUUGGGACUAAUUUCCAUUGUGCCAAUGAUUGGACUUGAAAAUGUGAAAAUGGGGCUUCAUUUUAUGGGUUAUGCUUUGAAAUGGUAUGGGUUUUAAGAUAAUGGGAUUUGUGAUAUUAAUCUAAGAUUAUGAGUUUAAUGAGUCUGAAUUGUAACAAUAAAUUCUAAAAUUAAUUAUGAAAAUUUGGUAAUUAAAUCAAAAAUAAUUAAAUUAAUUUACAUGAAAAAAUUAAGAAGUACAGACAAAGGAGAGGGAGAAGAAGAAAAAAAAAACGAAGAGGAAAAAUAUAUGUAUAUAUAUAUAAACAGAAGAAGACUAAGAAUAAGUGUAGUGUGAUUAACUCAAGGCACAAAUUUAUGUGACCAUUGCUGGCGAAAUCAUAAUCCCGUCGUGAUUUUAAAAUAAAAAAUUAAAAUUUUAUGAAAAAGUUUUUAAAAAAAAAUUGAUUUUCUUGAAAAAAUUGUGUGUUUAAGUAAUAAAAUUAUACAAAUUAAUUAACAGUGGGGAGAUUAAAAAUGAAAUUGAUAUUUUUAUUAUUUUCUGUAAAAGCAUUAUGUACUUUGAUUAUUUUACAAAUAUACAAUUUUUAUAUUUUUCUAUAAAUAAGAUAUUUAUAAAUACAUAAAUUCAAAAAAAAAAAUUAAAAAUUAUCUUUUGAAAUACAAAUUCAGACAUUAAUGUGGUAGACCAACAAAAUUAAUUGGAUUUGCUGAAUAGUCUUCAAGAGGCCACUAUUAUUUUAUAUGUACAUAAUAUUAUAUGUAAUAGAUGCUCUUCUCCUAGUCAAUAAAGACUAAGUAAUUAACCAGGCAAUUUAUUACACUCGGGCAUAUAUCUAUAGAUUCUUGAUAUGAUCUACAUGCCAAAAAUUGUGUAGGUUUCUCACUUCCACUUUUUCAUUCAACUUUCCUCUUAUUAUCAUUCUUAAUUAUGUAUAUGUGAAUAUAUCAAAUUGAUAAUUUAUAAUAUAUGUAUCCUAAUUAACAAUCAAGAUAUUAAGUUAAAAAUAUAUUAAUGAACUUACUAAUUAAUCAUGCAAUGGAAAUAAUGAGUGAACACGAAUAUUAUAUAUGGAAUAGAUUUAAUAUAUUUUAUAAAAUUAUUGUGUGAUUUAAUUUAUUAUUUAUAUUAUAUAAUCCUACCCUAAAAUAUGUAUUUGUAUAUGUUCAAGAGGUUUGAGGAAGUUAUAAAAGGAGAUAACUAUGGAUGUAUACACAAAUAACACAUGUGUAUGUAUAUAUUUAAGUGGAUCAAAAAACUACCUUCCACCAUUUUCUCACACAAUUAGAUUAUCACUUAUAAUAAUUUUAAUUUAGUUGUUUAAUUAGAUCUCGGCUCCCAUGGAAUUAACUUCAACUAAUUGAUGAAUCCAAGUCCAAACUUAACUAUAUCUUACUAAUGGAUAGUCCAUAUAUAUAUACAUAUAUAUAUAUGUAUAUGUAUAUGUAUACGCACGGGCUGUACAAUACAGAUUUCAGUUGAAUGAUUAUGCAUGCGUCACACAUGACGUUUGUUUUAAAUGUUAUUUGCAUGUAUGUAUGUGAUUUUUAACUAACCAAAAAUCAAAAUUAUUCCUUGAUAAUUUUUAAAACUCUGAACAUCUACCUCGAAAAUUAGUACAUCUUAUACUAGAAAUAUCGUACUUUAUGACAUAUAUAUAUAUAUAUAUAUAUAUACAUGAAGAUAUACACUUAAAUCCAUGUGGAUAUAGAAUGGACACAUGCAUGGACUCUAACAUAAAUGCUACGACUUGUUCAAUGCGAUAGCUACAAUUAUUCAUGUACUUUCAAAAUUAAUUAAUAGCAAGUAAUUUUUUUAUAAAUUAAAUAAUUAAUUUAAAUUAAAGCGAUCGAUUAUCGGAAACGAAUCUAUCAUAUCUUCAACUUCAAUCUAAUCCACACAAGUAAUAUUUUCAACCCAACUCCAAUCAUACAUUAUUUUCUUUUCUCUUUUUUAUUAAUUUAGUUAAUAUUAAAAUUUUAUAUACGAUUAAGAUAAAUGUUAAUUAGUGUAUUUUAUUUUAAUUUUGAAGAUUCAAUUCGAUUUAUAAUUGUCAAUAAAAUAAAUAAAUUUUGAUUCUCAAUUCAAUUAUCAAUUUAACAAUUAUUUUAAAUUUUUAUAUGAUAAUUAAUCAUAUGAUUAGUUAUUUAAAAUGAUAUUAAAUGCCCAAAAUUUUAUUAAAAAUUAAUUUUCCCAAAUAAUUGAGCUUUUUAGUUAAUUUACGACUGCUUCCGUUUAUUUUAUUUUUAUUUUUUUUUAUUUUUUUGGAAGCAGAAAAUAUUGACUUUUUCUCAUCUUACAAGUCUCUUCCCAAUCACAUACGCAAUAAAUAAAGCUCAGAGCAACUCCCCACAAUUACUGCUUCUUUUAUUUUCACCACUUGAAAAAUAAGUAAAUUCAUAGUAAGAAGAAAAUGUUGAAUUUUCCUUUUUUUUUUCAUUAAAUCAAUUAAUGUAAGAUGUACGUCUUGAUAACUCUUCAACAGCCACCUACUGUUGCGGGCCAUCAUAUGUAUAUAUUUGCGCUGAAAAUGUAUCUCCUUCUUCCCCCUAUAAAUACACACAGCCAACCAUUACUUGUCAUCACAUCCUUCAUACUAAGUAGAGCCAGUGUCGAGUUGCAGCAACCAAAAACCAUGGCAUCGAAGAUUUUCCUUCUCCUAGGCCUUUCAUUGGCCAUACUUCUUCUCAUCUCCUCCGAGGUGGCUGCAAGAGACCUCGCCGAGACGGAGACCCAGCAGGAACAUGGUCAGCUUUACCUUCUUCAUUCUGACAAUCACUCUUUACUACUUUAUUAAUCACAUGCAAUGUAGUUACUAACACUACAUAUCUAUACGAAUAAUGAUCAUAUGCAUAUACUGCGUGUAAAUUUAUGCAGGAGAGGUUGAGGAAGAGACAAAUGGAGUGGAAGAGGCUAAGUAUCCAGGAUAUGGAGGAUACCCUGGAGGCGGCGGAUACAACGGUGGGUACAACGGUGGACGUGGAGGAUACAACGGCAGAAGAGGGUAUUGCCGCUAUGGUUGCUGCGAUAGAGGUUAUCAUGGGCGCGGAGGUUGCAGGCGCUGCUGCCACUAUGCUGGUGAGACUGUUGAUGCCCAAACCCAAGUCCAGACACAUGACUAGAGCACCAUAAAUUAUAAAUAAGCGCUACAAUGCAUAGCUCGGUGUAUAUAUAUAUGCACAGACAAAUGGUUUAAUGAAAUAUAUAAUGUGUGUUUAGUGUGUUAGUCUUUUGCUAACACAACUUUUGUGCAAGCACCGAUUAGUAUUUGUAGCGCCAGAAGUGCUUAAUAAGUUAAUAAAUAAAAUUACGAGUAUGGAUAUGUGAUGGUAGUUUUGUAGUGUUGUAUGCAUGCUCUAAAAUACUUUUUACUCAUUUUGUAUAUAAACUAUGCAAAUAUAUUAAAAACUAAGUAAGUAUUGAAUUAAAAUCUUAAACAAAAACCCUAGAGAGACAAGAGAAUGAGAGAGAGUCCAAACAGGUUCUGAAGAGCUCAUUUCUUUUUUUUAUUUAUACUGAAAAAUAUUGAAGAAUCUGUAGAGUGCACAAAUUUUUCACAAAUAUGAUAUACAAACUAAAUUGGAAAAUGCCAACAUAUAUAUAUAUACACACACACAUACUCAUAUUACAUACACACGCAUCAUGCUUUUGAAGCUUCAGCACGAAAGCCCAAUGGAGAGAUGAAUGUUGGGAUUGGGCCUAAAUCUUAUUCUUUCUGUAUUUCAAAUUUAUUUCGAUUAACAACUACAUAAUAAAACUUUCCGUCUUAAUCUUCUGUUAUUAUCUUAAAUUUUUCAAAAUAAAAGAGAUAUUUAAAUUAAAGUGACAGCCGAACUGAGUAUUUAAAUAUUUGAUUUUGAUUUUUUUCAAAUAGUGUUAAGUUCAGGUUUUGCUUGAAGUUUGAUUAAUUAUCUUAAAAACUCAAACUUAAUUUGCUUGAAAAGAGUUUCAACUUGAAAAAAUUCAAAUUAUAUAAAAUUUAUUUGGAUAAAUUCGAUAAAUAAUAUCCUAUUUACUUAUUUUUGUUUAAUUUUUAUGAAAAUAUUUUUUAUAUUAUCAAAUACGUACUCAAAAAAAUAUAUAAAAAUAUUAACUUAUUAAGGAUUCAAAACUUAUAAAAGUAAAAGAUUUUUUUUUUUUAUAAGACUUAAUAUUCUAAGAGAAUCAAUACUAUUAUAUGGAUCAAAAGUAAUUUUACUUAUAAUAGUCAUAAUACUAGAAUUUAACAAAAUUGAUUUUUCGAAAGUACUUAUUGAUUUUGCUCCAGGUGGAGUAAACUUAUCUUACAUUCAUUCCCGAGCCUCCGAAAUCUUAACAGUUCUGAAGAGAACUUUCUACGCUAGUUUUAUUUUAUUCAAUUAAAAUUAAACUACUUUGUUCACUAAAGUAUUUUAUCUGGGAGAUGUUUUUAUCUUUCUUUUUGGUAUAAUUCACUUUUAAUUUAACAUUGAAGAGAGUAAUGUUGUUACUUACGCAAUUCUAAGUAACCAAAAUUCAGGGAUGAUCACUUUAAGAAAUGUUAUUUUUGCCUCAAAACUACUAAUAUAGCCUAAUGUUACUGUCAAGGCAUACAAUUGGACAAACAUGUUGUGCAAGAACUUCAUUCAUGAAAAUAAACUUUUAAUACCUCAGAAAAAAUAUUAUCUUAUAUAUAAUAUAUGUUUGUGAUUUUCUUAUAAUUUAUGAAUUGUCAAAAAUCAUGCAAUGAAAGUAAUGAGUGAAGACAACAGAAAUGCAUGAACAAAUAUUAUAUAUGGAAUAGAUUUAAUAUAUUUUAUAAAAUUAUUGGAUGACUCAAUCAUUUUAAAAUUUAAAUAUAAUUUAUUGAUUGAUUCAAUUUAUUAUUUAUAUUAUAUAAUCGUAGCCCAAAAUAUGUAUUUGGGUAUGUACAAGAGGUUGAGGGAGAGAUACAACGGUGGACGUGGAGGAUACAACAGCAGAAGAGGGUAUUGCCGCUAUGGUUGCUGCGAUAGAGGUUAUCAUGGGCGCGGAGGUUGCAGGCGCUGCUGCCACUAUGCUGGUGAGACUGUUGAUGCCCAAACCCAAGUCCAGACACAUGACUAGAGCACCAUAAAUUAUAAAUAAGCGCUACAAUGCAUAGCUCGGUGUAUAUAUAUAUAUGCACAGAAGAAUGGUUUAAUGAAAUAUAUAAUGUGUUUAGUGUGUUAGUCUUUUGCUAACACAACUUUUGUGCAAGCACCGAUUAGUAUUUGUAGCGCCAGAAGUGCUUAAUAAGUUAAUAAAUAAAAUUACGAGUAUGGAUAUGUAAUGGUAGUUUUGUAGUGUUGUAUGCAUGCUCUAAAAUACUUCUUACCCAUUUUGUAUAUAAACUAUGCAAAUAUAUUAAAAAC